rnacentral:rRNA from 1 species
GGACCCGCACAAGCGGUGGAGCAUGUGGUUUAAUUCGAUGCAACGCGAAGAACCUUACCUGGCCUUGACAUCCACGGAAUUCUGCAGAGAUGUGGAAGUGCCUUCGGGAACCGUGAGACAGGUGCUGCAUGGCUGUCGUCAGCUCGUGUCGUGAGAUGUUGGGUUAAGUCCCGCAACGAGCGCAACCCUUGUCCUUAGUUGCCAUCAUUCAGUUGGGAACUCUAAGGAGACCGCCGGUGACAAACCGGAGGAAGGUGGGGAUGACGUCAAGUCAUCAUGGCCUUUAUGGCCAGGGCUACACACGUGCUACAAUGGCAGGUACAGAGGGAAGCCAACGCGCGAGCGGGAGCUAAUCCCAGAAAGCCUGUCGUAGUCCGGAUCGGAGUCUGCAACUCGACUCUGUGAAGUUGGAAUCGCUAGUAAUCGCAGAUCAGCAUUGCUGCGGUGAAUACGUUCCCGGGUCUU